AGAAAAGUUUGAUUCUAGCUUGGGCAAUGUCGUUGGGUUAUUUUUACAUGCGGGUGAGUUAAUUUGAAGGUUGCAGUAUUUGGUAUUUUACUAUUGAAGGGAUGGGGAUUUAUUGUACUGUUUUAGACAAAUGUGUGCCAGCAUCUGCGGUUAGACACAGAAGGCGGGAUAUUGGGAUUCGAUAAUAGUGUGCAUUGGGAAUUAAAGAUUAGAGAAUUUUGGGUAAAAUAUAGUUUUUUAAUGUAAAAAUUAUUAGUUAACUUUUAGACUUUAGCAUUAAACCAGGAUUAGAUACCCUGUUAUAUGGGGAUUAAACAAAAUUUUGAAGUAGUAGAAAUUAUAGUUAGAAACUUAAAGGAUUUGGCGGUGUUUUUAUGAACAGAGGAACCUGUUCCAUUAGUGAUACUCCGCGGUUAUUUUACUUAUUUACAGGUUUAUAUAUCGCUGUCAUAAAAGUUAAUUGAAGAAUUUAAUUUGAGAGUUAAAGAAAAACGACGAUAAGUCAAGGUGUAGUAAAUAGAUAAGGGGAAAUGGGUUACAAUUCAUUUUGUAUUGGAUGGUUCGUGAUUGUAAUAAUGCCUAAAAGAGGAUUUGUUAGUAAAAUUAAUAAUAAAAUUUAUUUAUUGAAUAAUUAAUUUAAGCACGUACAUAUUGCCCGUCGCUCUCGUUUUGAAACGAGAUAAGUCGUAACAAAGUAGGUUUGCUGGAAGGGGUUCCUGGAAAGUG
rnacentral:ncRNA from 1 species